GCUCCUGGAGCCUGGAGCAGCAGCAGCAGCAGCAGCAGAGCAAAGCAGGGCAGGGCCAGGCCUCCCCUGCCUCCCCUCCCCCUGUCCCCGCCAGAGAGGCCAUUUUGGAAUGUUAAUUGGAAACACAAGCAGUUUCCAGCCGGCUAGGGGUAGCUCUCAGCCAAAGGAGCUGCGGGGAGGGGGAGUGGAAGGGCUCUCCAGAGAGAAAACGGGCAGGGGGUUCCCCUCCGGGUGGGCAGGACUGAAGGCUUUUGGCCAAGGCCAAGGGAAGCUCUGGUCAGAAGCCUGGACGCCUGGGUCCCUUCCUCCAGCUGAAAUUUUAUUGUUUCCCUUGGCUUGGGCGGCGGGGAGGGGGUGAGAGGCUCCCUCACCCCUCACCGUCGGGCGGGUACAGAGAAAGAAGCCCCAACAUCCUCUCUCUCCGGGGAAAGCUCCCAACAGGGGCCGCCUCCCUUCCUCUCUUUCCCUUCCCCCUCCUUAAAAAAAUGAAUCCCAAACCUGGUCUGCAAGAGGGGGUGCUGGCCCAGGGGGUGAGCCGAGGCCAGAACGGAUUUAACUACAAGCUUGCCAGGCAGGAACAGCGGCUUCCUCCCCAAGACUCUGGCUGUGGGCUGCGGGGGGCAGGGGAUGGGUGAGAGGGUCCCCACCCACCUGGAGGGACCGGGCGACCGCCACCCUCCCCUCCCUCUACCACCUACACUAUUCCUUCUCAGCAACUGAGAAAAAAGCACGGAGGGGGGAAAAGUUUGUUCCUCCCACGGAAAUCGUGCCGGGAAGGGAGAGGGGAGCCGGAGGGGUCCCUGCCGCGGGGUCAGGGGGGAGGGGAGCAGAGAGCUGGCUCCUCCAUCCUCCAGGUGGGGAGCCAGAAAGGAGGGGAGGCCCCAGAGUUCUCCCAGUUGGGCAGAGAAAGAUAAAAGGCCCCCAGCAUGGGGGUCUCCUGGGAUGUAAAGGACUCUGAGGUGGGGGAGGAGGGGCUGUCCCGCCCUGAGCCUCUCGAGUCUAUUUUACUCUCCUCCAUAUCUAACCACUUCCUAACUAAGAGCAAUGAUUAACCGGGAGCAGUCUGGCCCUCCCCUUCCCCCAGACUGUAAAUCCUUGGAAGGCAGGACUGUUAUUUUUCCAUUUUUGAAAUCUCAGUGUCAAGCACCUAGGAGGUAUUUAAUAAAUGUUUACUGAACCCAGGGCAGCUCAGCUCCCGGAAAGGCAAACAGAUAAGGCCCGGGCUGGGGAGAGGGGUGGCCCAGGGACCGAGCCAGGGCAGCACAAAGGGAAAGGCAGGCUCCAGAGGGGGAGGGGGCGCGGCCCCCAGAGGCUAAUUAGGAUAACUCUAAGAUAAAGAGGGGCCGAGUGGGAAGGGCAGGGCCAGGCUGAUAAUCCUGGGGCUCUGGGUCAAAUUCUGGGUCAGGGGAAAAGGGGACCCAAGGCAGGGAGAGGGCUUGGGAAGGGGGCGGCCAGCAUCCCGAGGAACAACACAGACAUCAGGGUCUGGAUGGCUGAAGGGUUAAAGGGGAGGGGUACCGGUCCCAGCCGGUCUAGAUUAGGACAAGGGGGCAAGUUCCUGGUGCGAGGCUGGGGGGAAGGAUGGUCCGAGUGGUGCGAGGACAGGGAGAAUGGGGAGUGAGGGCGGUUAGAGUGUGGGUUGGGGAGGGCAGUUCCUGAGGACUGGCCUGAAUGCGGGGAAGGCCGGUCAGUUUGGGUUGGUGUGAGGAGGCUGACUGCACUUCUCAGUUGGGGAGGGAAGGGGGGUCCAGUCUGGGCGAGGGGGAAGGAGCGCCCCAAUCCCCACUUCGGCACUCAGUCUGGGGAGGCAGUCCCUAGUCUGGGGUGGUGGGUAGGGACGGCAGAAUCUCGGUAAAAGUACAGGGCGCCCUACUUGGGGCCGGAAAGCACGAAGGAGAGCCCAGCUCCUGAUUCCCCUGGCGGAGUCACUGAAGCUAUGGCAAGACCAAAGUAAACACUAAUGGCAUGACCCAGCUGAUAGCACCGAUUCUAUCCUCCAACAGGCACCUGCUGCAGCCACAAGAGCGUGUCUGUGACACUCCCUGCUCAGGCGAACUUCCCCCGGCCGUCUCCGCGGCAGGAAAGCCUAGCCCGAAUACACCCCAACGCAUCCCAGCAUGUCGGCACCUGUGCGGGAAGUACCUG